AUUGAACGCUGGCGGCAUGCCUUACACAUGCAAGUCGAACGGCAGCACGGGAGCAAUCCUGGUGGCGAGUGGCGAACGGGUGAGUAAUAUAUCGGAACGUGCCCAGUCGUGGGGAUAACGUAGCGAAAGCUACGCUAAUACCGCAUACGAUCUAUGGAUGAAAGCGGGGGAUCGCAAGACCUCGCGCGAUUGGAGCGGCCGAUAUCAGAUUAGGUAGUUGGUGGGGUAAAGGCUCACCAAGCCAACGAUCUGUAGCUGGUCUGAGAGGACGACCAGCCACACUGGAACUGAGACACGGUCCAGACUCCUACGGGAGGCAGCAGUGGGGAAUUUUGGACAAUGGGCGCAAGCCUGAUCCAGCAAUGCCGCGUGCAGGAUGAAGGCC
rnacentral:rRNA from 1 species